AGUCACGGUGCUGCAGAGGCCGGUGGAGCCCAGGAGGCCGUGGUCAGAGCUUGGAGGAAGGGGCUCCCCGGCUUACGGCUGUUUGCCAGCUUUCACCCCGAGUCUCGGGCGCUGGGGUGCUGGAUUGUGGCCGAUGGCAGGAUGCUACACACUCUGCAGCCUUCCCCGGGGGCGGUGGAAGCUGAGGGCUGAGCCGGCGGCACUGAGCCCGCCCCUGGCAGGAAGGCGGCGCGGGAUGGGAGGAGUUGGGCCGGGGCUCCCCUCCCUCCGUCUUCACGCCGCCGCUGCUCCGGGCGAUGCUUUUAGCCGGCGAUGUAGUUUGUAAUGCUCAGUGAAAUCAUUCAUUCAUUCCCCCCCGACCCAUCCCGUCCUCCCCAGGACUCGCUGCUCAGCCUGCAGCCGGCUCCUACCUGCACCGGGAUGGGGGGGGAAGCGCGGGGCUCCGGCCCCCUGGGUCCAGAGCUGGAGGCCGGGUGCAGCUCAGACCGCAGCGGGGGAGGAGGCAGCUCCUGUCCUCCCCGCCCUCUCCCCGGGGCCGGGGGAGCCACCGCCCGCGGUCCUCACAGCAGAACGGUGAGAGCUGCGCGCGGGUUUUCCUGCCGGGGCGGAGGGAAACGGCCUGGAUCCCACUUCCCAGGACUUACCACUCGUCAUGUGAGACACUUUGGCCAGCUUCUUCAUGACGUUGUCAAGCCGUGACUGAGUGCUGUCCAGCUCGUGGGAGAAGUCAUCCAGCAUCCUGGGGACAGAGCAGUGGGGCACAGCAGCGUCAGCAAGGGGCACAGCCCCUCGGGCUUUGUCAGCACACUCUGCUCAAAACACAGGUGUGUCACACAUGAACACAGCCUCCUGAAAGAAUCCAAGCCACUGCCAUGAAUCUCAGCCUUCCUGGAGCUGUGCCUUUGUCAAUGCCAAGAACUCAUCUGAAGAGAAACCACCACAUCCAGAAUCAAGCCAGUGCUUGCAUGGAGGAGUUUGACAUCUGAUCCUUCAUUUCCUGUUUUGUUCAAAGAAAGAAGAAGAAUGUCAGCGUUGGAUUUGAGGUGACAGGCAGUUUCAGGGUGCUACAGGGCUGUCUAUACCCAGCAAAGCUGUGUGAAGGGGAGUGAGGAAAGGGAGAUUUUCUUUGAAAAUGCACACUUCCCAAGAGCCUAGAAGGAUACUCUAGAAAGCUCCAUGGCAGUUAACUAAUAUCAGAAGCAACAGCAAUGGCAUAUUUUGAAAAUACCCCUACUCAUUUUGCUCCACUACAGCCAGAAACACUUUGUGACAUUUAACUGACGUCUCCUUUGAUAGACUGUAAUAAGUCACGUUCUUCAAGGUUCUGGAAGACUGUAACCUCCUGUACUUUAUUCACAGCUGGUUUUAUACCACAUAGGAUGAGACAGAUUCCCUCUCCUGUGGCCAUCCUCUCUGACUGCACCUACAUUUUCUCUUUGAUGAGUUAAGUUUGGCUGCUGAGCUCCCAUGGAUCAGUAGAUACAUGAGGCUCCUCAUCGCAACCUAGUCUGGUCUUCAUAGGGUAGAUUAGCAAGUAGUCAAUGUGAUCUAGCAGGUGUUGAUCCACCAGAACAGUUGGUAUGUUUCACUCUUCAGAGAUGUAAAAACCACCACCCUAAGAGCACCAGAUUCCAAUGGGCUAUUUCUUACCAGCUAACACACAUGCUGCUGUGCAUCACAAAUUCCUCCACAAUAACUGGAAGUCAGAUGGAUAAUUUCAUUUAACAGUAAGAGGUGCUGCUCCAAAACCCAUUAGCCAGCAGUUUUCAGCCAAGAAAAAGAGGACCACAUGCUUGCCUGAUCCUGCUCUUUUGGGGAGCAGACUAUACUGAGAGCAGGGCAGUGAGCAGACACCUGCUACCUGGGGUCAGCACUGCUUUGGGAUCAAUUCCCAGCCUUGGAAACUGCACCCAGACUAAGGGGCUGCAAGUAGGGUAAAAACCUUGCUUCCAGCCACACCAAGGCAUUUUGUGAAGCAGGAACAUCAGAGUCAUGAGGGGCAACAGAAACUAAGCCUUGCUCAGCAUAGCUAUUAAUAGGGAGAAAACUUCCUAACUAGCAGCUUGUUACUAGGCAGUGAAGUUUUUAGUAAGACAUCUCUUCUCUGUUUAUUACUACCAAGUUGUUAAAGUCUUUUUUUUUGCUUCUGAAGUAGGAGCUUAAACUAAAAAUAAAUAAAUAACUAAAUC